UCUACGGGGGGCAGCAGUGGGGAAUAUUGGACAAUGGGGGCAACCCUGAUCCAGCCAUGCCGCGUGUGUGAAGAAGGCCCUCGGGUUGUAAAGCACUUUCAGUGAGGAAGAACGCCUGGUGGUUAAUACCCAUCAGGAAAGACAUCACUCACAGAAGAAGCACCGGCUAACUCCGUGCCAGCAGCCGCGGUAAUACGGAGGGUGCGAGCGUUAAUCGGAAUUACUGGGCGUAAAGCGCGCGUAGGUGGCUUGAUAAGCCGGUUGAGAAAGCCCCGGGCUCAACCUGGGAACGGCAUCCGGAACUGUCAAGCUAGAGUGCAGGAGAGGAAGGUAGAAUUCCCGGUGUAGCGGUGAAAUGCGUAGAGAUCGGGAGGAAUACCAGUGGCGAAGGCGGCCUUCUGGACUGACACUGACACUGAGGUGCGAAAGCGUGGGUAGCAAACAGGAUUAGAUACCCUUGUAGUC
rnacentral:rRNA from 1 species